UUCAUAAAUAAUUCAUUCACCUCCGCCUAUGACGACGAUGCCAUCUUCCAUCACGAUGUUUCACAUUAGACAUCGUUAGAUGCCAAAUUGGUCGACAUCGACCAACCCUAAUCUCCAGUAAAGCACAAAAAAGUCUCUAGAUUUGUCACUAGUGGCUUUUUUGAAAAUUUGUCGCUAAGGGGGUCUGAAAAGUUGCUAAAUUUAGUGACAAAGUCGCUAAGUUGGCAACAAUGGUUUCUCCGUCUGAUUUUACGGUAGGUUUCUUUUGACCGCCCCUGUUGUUUUAAAAAAAUAUCUCAAUGGAACACAUAUAACACAUAUAAAAGUCAUGUCCGUUUCGCGAGUUGCGAGCGCACUAAGUGGAGGUUCACGACGGGGCGCCAGGCGAAAGUAUAAAUCAGCCAUAGGAAACAUUAAAAAAUGUUUUUUUAGGACACGACUGGCCAUGAGACCUACAAUAGAUCAAGUAAUAAAUUUCAAUUUAUUUUCAUUUAAUUUUAAUCUCCUCACCAAGUAUUACUAUCGAGCAGUAUUUCUCAACCCCAGUCCUCGCAAACCCCUGCCCGCUUGUUGCUAUAAUGGAUACAUCUGCCACAGGAAGUUAACCAGAAUUAUUUAUAGAAAUUAAACAUUCAUUGUAUUGUAUUAACAUCUACCCCCACCCUGAAACUAAACACAAUCCUCCCAGUAAUGUACAAACUGAGUUAUUCAUAUUAUGUAUUAAAUUACACAUUCAAUUGUAUUUUGUUAACACCCUAAACCCAACCCUCACUGUAGUGUAAAAAUAUUCAUUAUUGUUGUGCUGUGUUGCAAAAACGAUGCUAUAUUGAUGUGAGUAUCUACAGCUGUAUCCCUUCUAGCCUCCCUCUCCAUCGUUCUGCACAUUUCGUUCAUUCAAAUGGCAUUUUAGUGUGUGAUAUGUUAAUGUAAACGUUGCAUCACACCACAUCUGUGACAAUAUGACAUUCUGACAUUUCAACUUCGAGAUGGGUAAGUAUAACUUCAUUUACUACAUUUCUUUUUGUUGAUAAUUUUGUAAGUUACUCAAUGAAAAGAAACUUUGCUAUGUCGAAGUAGUUCAUCCAAAAAUGAUUUAAUCUCAAAUGGUUCCAAACCUUUAAGUAUUAGUUUCUUUAACGUGUCGAACGCUGAUGAAGGUAUUCUGAAGACAUCUGAAAACCUGUUGACUUUCAUAGUAGGAGAAAAAAAUACUGUGGAAGUUAAAUGGCUACAGGUUUCCAGCAUUGAUCAAAAAAUGUUUGUGUCUACGGACGAAAAAAAAGGCAAAGAGGUUAAGAACACGUGGAGGUAUCUCAGUGGAGGAACAAUCGCCUUCCACUAUCAUAUGACGUAGAACAGAGUGUCUAAAGCACACAUCUCCUGCAGUCUAGGAGUGUGUCUAGUCCAUAUUGGAGACAGAUGUGAUGGGGUCUUUGCUGGCUCACCCAUAGAACAGGCAUCGGAUGGAAAAAAGUUGAAGGUUCCAGAUGAUCAGCAGAUACAGUUUCAGGAGCAGAGCAUCUUGGGAACGCAGCAGAUGCAGCUUUACCCUGGUCGGGAUCGAGUGAACACAACAAUGCAGCAAGUGUGGUGGAAAAUAGCCUCGGCUGUUUAUCAUCUCACUGGAGGAUCCUGCAGAUUAGGAUCAACAUACAUUGUGACUAAAUAAAGAUUUUUUAUAUGUACA